rnacentral:tRNA from 1 species
AAGUAAGAAGCAAUCCUGCAAUCAGUUUCGACCUGAUAAUUUGAUGUUACCAACACAUCCUUACUUU